rnacentral:rRNA from 1 species
GACGAACGCUGGCGGCGUGCUUAACACAUGCAAGUCGAGCGGUAAGGCCCUUUCGGGGGUACACGAGCGGCGAACGGGUGAGUAACACGUGGGUGACCUGCCCUCAGCUCUGGGAUAAGCCUGGGAAACCGGGUCUAAUACUGGAUAUGACUCCAUGACGCAUGUUGUGGGGUGGAAAGCCUUGUGCGGCUGAGGAUGGGCCCGCGGCCUAUCAGCUUGUUGGUGGGGUGANGGCCUACCAAGGCGACGACGGGUAGCCGGCCUGAGAGGGCGACCGGCCACACUGGGGACUGAGACACGGCCCAGACUCCUACGGGAGGCAGCAGUGGGGAAUCUUGCGCAAUGGGCGAAAGCCUGACGCAGCGACGCCGCGUGAGGGAUGACGGCCUGG